rnacentral:rRNA from 1 species
GGAGUAGAGUUUAUUGAUCUUGAAAAACUAAAUUGCUUGGCGGCGUAUUAACUAAAUAGAGAAGUAUGUUUUUUAAUCGAUAAUGCACUAAAAUCUUACCCUAUAUUGUUCAAAUCAUUUGGUACACCGCCGUCGAAAGGAUAAUUCUAUUGAAUUGUUCUUAAAUCUUUAGUAAGAAAUAAGUCAGGCCAAGGCACCGACUAUUAUUGGGUUAAAAUGUACUUCAUUAUUA